UGCUCGUCUCCGAGACUAAGCCAUGCAAGUCCAAGUACACGUCCUUGAACGACGGAAAACUGCGAACGGCUCAUUAAAUCAGUUGCGAUCUACUCGGCGUUCCGCGCCGCCGGAUAACCGUAGUAAUUCUAGGGCUAAUACGUGCGAAGCGCCCGAAGCCGCGAGGCGACGGGCGUUCUCGCCGGAUGUAGGAACCGACCCGGGGGACCGCCGGGGCAACCCGGCGCCCCCGAGACGGGGCGAACCACGGUGAAAUGACGGAUCGUCGGCCCCGCGCCGGCGACUCGCCGAAUGAGUUUCUGACCUAUCAACUCGAGACGGCGGGGUAGAGGCCCGCCGCGGUAACGACGGGUAACGGGGAAUCAGGGUUCGAUUCCGGAGAGGGAGCCCGAGAAACGGCUACCACUUCCAAGGAAGGCAGCAGGCGCG
rnacentral:rRNA from 1 species